rnacentral:tRNA from 3 species
AUUUUCUUAGUAUACUAGUAUUGGUGACUUCCAAUCACCCGGCCUUGGUUUAAGCCCGAGAGAAAAUA